CAUGAACGCUAGCUACAGGCUUAACACAUGCAAGUCGAGGGGGAACGAUAUUGGAAGCUUGCUUCCGAUAGGCGUCGACCGGCGCACGGGUGAGUAACGCGUAUCCAACCUGCCCACCACUUGGGGAUAACCUUGCGAAAGUAAGACUAAUACCCAAUGAUAUCUCUAGAAGACAUCUGAAAGAGAUUAAAGAUUUAUCGGUGAUGGAUGGGGAUGCGUCUGAUUAGCUUGUUGGCGGGGUAGCGGCCCACCAAGGCGACGAUCAGUAGGGGUUCUGAGAGGAAGGUCCCCCACAUUGGAACUGAGACACGGUCCAAACUCCUACGGGAGGCAGCAGUGAGGAAUAUUGGUCAAUGGGCGAGAGCCUGAACCAGCCAAGUAGCGUGCAGGAUGACGGCCCUAUGGGUUGUAAACUGCUUUUAUAAGGGAAUAAAGUGAGAGUCGUGACUCUUUUUGCAUGUACCUUAUGAAUAAGGACCGGCUAAUUCCGUGCCAGCAGCCGCAGUAAUAC
rnacentral:rRNA from 1 species